GACAGAGGGGGCAAGCGUUGCUCGGAAUCACUGGGCGUAAAGGGCGCGUAGGCGGGAUGGCAAGUCAGUCGUGAAAUCUCUCGGCUCAACCGAGAAACGUCGGCUGAUACUGCCGUUCUUGAGGGAUGCAGAGGAGACUGGAAUUCCCGGUGUAGCGGUGAAAUGCGCAGAUAUCAGGAGGAACACCGAUGGCGAAGGCAGGUCUCUGGGCCGAUACUGACGCUGAGGAGCGAAAGCGUGGGGAGCGAACAGG
rnacentral:rRNA from 1 species